rnacentral:tRNA from 1 species
AGGAUUAUAGUUUAAUCACAAAACAUUUGAUUUGCAUUCAAAAAAUACUAUUAAUAUAGUUUAUCUUA